rnacentral:rRNA from 1 species
GACAGAGGGUGCAAACGUUGUUCGGAAUUACUGGGCGUAAAGCGCGUGUAGGCGGCAGGGCAUGUCGGAUGUGAAAUGCAUGGGCUCAACCCAUGAGCUGCAUUUGAAACUGAUUAGCUUGAGUGAAGUAGAGGUAGGCGGAAUUCCCUGUGUAGCGGUGAAAUGCGUAGAGAUAGGGAGGAACACCAGUGGCGAAGGCGGCCUACUGGGCUUUAACUGACGCUGAGGCACGAAAGCGUGGGUAGCAAACAGG